ensembl:lncRNA
CAUGUGCCCGGAGUGGGCGGGGCUGGGCGCUUCGGCUCGCAGGGUCUGGCGAUCCCGGCUACGGAGACCCGGGAGGGACCGGCCGGGAGACCCGCGCUCUAGAGCGGCGAGGGCAGGGGUUGCUAGGGCGCAGGGGUCGAACCGGCGCUCCCUGCCAGUCUUAGGGCCGCAUCCCUGCGGAGGCGGGCGUUGGAGAAGGGUACGCACACAUGGGGGGAGUCCUCGGAAAGCAAGAACGUGCUGCACAUUCCGGGGACUGGGACGUAGAUCUAAGUCACUGGAAAUACCUGGUUUGCUGCGGGAGGUGGGUCUGCAGGUGCUCAUUAUUACGCUCGUUGUUAUUAUGCUGUUGUAGUUAAACGAUAUUAGUUACAGUAUUAAAUUGCAAAUGUCAGCAUCCUUCACCGCCUGAACAGCGUGCAUACCAGUAGCAUAUAAUUUUUGUAGUUUUUAAAUGUUAAGUUUGUAACAAGUGCACAAACUUAAUUGUACAUUCGCUGAGGUUCUUUGUUUUCAAGACAGGCAUGCUCUGUGGCCCAGCCUGGAGUGCAGUGCGUGAUCAUGGCUCACAGUAACCUCAAAUUCCUGGCUUCAAGCGAUCCUCCUGCCUCACCCUCCUGAAGGGACUGGAAUUACAGGCGAGCCGCCAUGCCCAGCCUCCAUUUGCUGAGUUUUAACAAAUUAUACAGUUGUGUAACCGAAGAUGCUAUCAAGACAAAUGGAACCCUUCCCUCACCCCAGAAAAUUCUCUUAUGCCCGUUUCCCUUCCAUGUCCACUGCUACCACGCCACCUACUCUGAUUUCUCCACUAUGGUUCCCCCGUUCUAAGAGUUCCUACCGCCGGGCGCGGUGGCUCAAGCCUGUAAUCCCAGCACUUUGGGAGGCCGAGAUGGGCGGAUCACGAGGUCAGGAGAUCGAGACCAUCCUGGCUAACACGGUGAAACCCCGUCUCUACUAACAAUACAAAAAAUUAGCCGGGCGAGGUGGCAGCGCCUGUAGUCCCAGCUACUCGGGAGGCUGAGGCCGGAGAAUGGCGUGAACCCGGGAGGCGGAGCUUGCAGUGAGCUGAGAUCCGGCCACUGCACUCCAGCCUGGGCUACAGAGCGAGACUCUGUCUCAAAAAAAAAAAAAAAAAAAAAAAAAGUUCCUACCAAUGGAUCUUGGCCUUUCAGGUACAUGUCCUUGUGUAAGGCGUGUUUCCCUUAGCGUCAUGUUUCUGGAGAUUCAUCUGUGUUGUUUCACGUCUCAGGAGUUUGUUCUUCUGAUGACCGAGUAGUCCAGUGUGAACACACCAGUGUGUUUACCUGCUGAAUUCAUGGACACUUGUAGCUGUCUCUAGCUAUUGGCAAUCAUGAAUAAAGUUGCUGUUGACUUUCUUUUUGAAGUCUUUGUGUGGACAUGUUUUUAUUUCUCUGGGCAGAUACUGAGGCGUGGGUCAAAGGAAAGGAGUAUGUUAAGUUUCAUAAGAAGUUGCCAGAUUUUCCCACAUGGCUGUUUCCAUGUUACUAGUGGAGUCUGAGCCUUCCAUUUCCUCCACAUCCUCACAGCACUUGGUAAUGCCAGCGUGCGUGUGUGUGUGUGUGUGUUGUAGCCAUUUUAUUUUAUUUAUUUUUUUGAAAUGGAGUCUCACUCCGUCGCCCAGGCUGGGGUGCAAUGGCGCAAUCUCAGCUCACUGCAACCUCCGCCUCCUGGCUUCCAGUGAUUCUCCUGCCUCAGCUUCCUGUGUAGCUGGGAUUACAGGCAUGCACUAGCACGCCUGGCUAA